GGUGGCACUGGGGCAUCCCUUGGCAGUGACACCUGCAGGGUGGCACUGGGGCAUCCCUCGGCAGUGACACCUGCAGGGGUGGCACUGGGGCAUCCCUUGGCAGUGACACCUGCAGGGUGGCACUGGAGGAGCCCUCAGCAGUGACACCUGCCCAGGGCAGGGAUGGCAUGGGACAACCCUGGUGGCUUUGGCAUUUUGCUGUGACUUCACGGAGCUCUGCCACAGCCAUGCCCAUGGUGCCCUGCUGGGAGCUGCUGCUGGGGCACAGGUGACACAGGGACAGCCCCAGCUGGCUGCUCCUGCAGGACAGGACCUGGACCUGCUCCUGGACCUUCCUGUGGCCACUGGAGAGCCCAUCCCUGUGUGAGCAGCGGGCACAAGUGCCAAGGAUGGGCUCUGGCUGCUGGGAUUGGGAACUCCACGGGGUUCCAGGGCUUUCACCUGCCUGCUCUGGGACCCAGCUUUGCAAUCCUGCAGGGUUCUUCCCAUUCCUGAAGGUUUUCGCUUGCCUGCUUUAGGACCCAGCUUUUGGAAUCCUGCAGUUCUCUUCCCUCCCUGGAGGGUUUUCACCUGCCUGCUCUGGGACCCAACAUUUGCAAUCCUGCAGUUCUCUUCCCUCUCUGGAGGAUUUUCACCUGCGUCCUUUAGGACCCAGCCUUUGCAAUCCUGCAGUUUUCCCCUGAGGCAGGGCGGCUCCUCCGGACGCACACCGCUGUAGAUACCCGAUGUGUCCUGUGGGAUGUGACGCUUUCCCAGUGGUUUUUGGGUGUCAGAGUGCAGUGUACAAACCUGGUGUGGCUCAGUGCUGUGCUUCUAGCGCGUCCUUCACGUCGUGCUUUGCUUCUCGAGGCUCGUUGCGUCGUCGCUGUGGAUAGACCAGUAUCAACCUUAGCUCUUCGGUGGUGUGGAAGUGUUUAAGUGUGGUUUGCCUCACAUACUGAUCCGUAUUUGGCAGCUAAUGGCGUUAAGUGACCAUGAGUUCUCUUUGUCUGGGUUGGAAAAUAAAAGGUUUUAUUGUAUCCGCAUGUAUUUUAAAAUUUUUGGAUAAUUCAUCGACCUGUGAUGACAGCACAUGUAAAAACCGAUCUUUUCCUUUUAUUCAGAAGUUCUAUUUGCUGUGGUAGCACUUGUUGUUGGCACUGAUGGUAGUGAUUUCCAUCCUGUUUUGUACAUCAGGUUUCAUGAUUACAGUGUUUCAGUUUGUACAAUUGUUUAUGUAAAAACGAUUUGGUCUGAAGAGAUGCCGUGUGUUCACUUCUGAUCCUAGACACAUACGAGAUCCUACUGGUAAUACUGUUAGUAGUUACAACUGUACCAGACUUAUUUUUUACAGAGCUUUACAUGCCUUUAUUUAUUCCUUUAUCGGACCAUCCAAACCAUGUACUCCGUAGUUCAGUAUUUGUAGACCAGUUUCACAAAUCAACUUAAGGUAUUGUGGCAAAGCUUCGAAUAAAUGUUUACUGAGACUUUGCACUGA